rnacentral:rRNA from 1 species
UACAGAGGUGGCAAGCGUUGUUCGGAAUUACUGGGCGUAAAGGGCGCGUAGGCGGCCUUGUAGGUCCUGUGUGAAAUCCCCCGGCUCAACUGGGGAACUGCACAGGAGACUGCUUGGCUUGAGUUCGGGAGAGGGAAGCGGAAUUCCGGGUGUAGCGGUGAAAUGCGUAGAUAUCCGGAGGAACACCGGUGGCGAAGGCGGCUUCCUGGACCGACACUGACGCUGAGGCGCGAAAGCCAGGGGAGCAAACGGG